ACACCUAGAAGACUUCAUUCAUUAUGAAUAUCUUGA
rnacentral:tRNA from 1 species